rnacentral:lncRNA from 1 species
AAUUAUAUUCUUCAACCAACUAAAAUCUACUAACAAGGCUCUCACUAUGUUACUGAAUAAAUUAUAUAUUAAGUACAUAAUUACAUUAUUUUCAUAUAGUAGCCAAACCACAACACGACAAUUGCGACAAGUCUUUCUUUGCUCGGUAAGAGCUUUAAAACAUAUCAAAAUAAUUUGCAUAUCCUCUACUUCUGAAUGUAUGUGUGGAGGAGAUGUUGG